rfam:Triticum aestivum genome assembly, contig: Triticum_aestivum_CS42_TGACv1_scaffold_602920_7DL
AAUGUACUCCCUCCGUCCCAAAAUUCUUGUCCUGGAUUUGUCUAGAUACGGAUGUAUCUAACACUAAAACGUAACUAGAUACAUCCGUAUUUAGACAAAUCUAAGACAAGAAUUUUGGGACGGAGGGAGUAUGUU